CCUACGGGAGGCAGCAGUGGGGAAUUUUGGACAAUGGACGCAAGUCUGAUCCAGCAAUGCCGCGUGCAGGACGAAGGCCUUCGGGUUGUAAACUGCUUUUGUACGGAACGAAACGGUCUUCUUUAAUACAGAGGGCUAAUGACGGUACCGUAAGAAUAAGCACCGGCUAACUACGUGCCAGCAGCCGCGGUAAUACGUAGGGUGCGAGCGUUAAUCGGAAUUACUGGGCGUAAAGCGUGCGCAGGCGGUUAUAUAAGUCAGAUGUGAAAUCCCCGGGCUCAACCUGGGACCUGCAUUUGAGACUGUAUAGCUAGAGUACGGUAGAGGGGGAUGGAAUUCCGCGUGUAGCAGUGAAAUGCGUAGAUAUGCGGAGGAACACCGAUGGCGAAGGCAAUCCCCUGGACCUGUACUGACGCUCAUGCACGAAAGCGUGGGGAGCAAACAGGAUUAGAUACCCUGGUAGUCCACGCCCUAAACGAUGUCAACUGGUUGUUGGGUCUUCACUGACUCAGUAACGAAGCUAACGCGUGAAGUUGACCGCCGUCGGGAGGUACGGCCGCGAGGUUAGUAAACGUUAAACGUAGUAAGUUAGUACGGCGUGAGACGUAGCCGACGGACGACGACGAGGGAGGAGGG
rnacentral:rRNA from 1 species